AAAUUGAAGAGUUUGAUCAUGGCUCAGAUUGAACGCUGGCGGCAGGCCUAACACAUGCAAGUCGAACGGUAACAGGAAGCAGCUUGCUGCUUUGCUGACGAGUGGCGGACGGGUGAGUAAUGUCUGGGAAACUGCCUGAUGGAGGGGGAUAACUACUGGAAACGGUGGCUAAUACCGCAUAACGUCGCAAGACCAAAGAGGGGGACCUUCGGGCCUCUUGCCAUCAGAUGUGCCCAGAUGGGAUUAGCUUGUUGGUGAGGUAACGGCUCACCAAGGCGACGAUCCCUAGCUGGUCUGAGAGGAUGACCAGCCACACUGGAACUGAGACACGGUCCAGACUCCUACGGGAGGCAGCAGUGGGGAAUAUUGCACAAUGGGCGCAAGCCUGAUGCAGCCAUGCCGCGUGUAUGAAGAAGGCCUUCGGGUUGUAAAGUACUUUCAGCGGGGAGGAAGGUGUUGUGGUUAAUAACCACAGCAAUUGACGUUACCCGCAGAAGAAGCACCGGCUAACUCCGUGCCAGCAGCCGCGGUAAUACGGAGGGUGCAAGCGUUAAUCGGAAUUACUGGGCGUAAAGCGCACGCAGGCGGUCUGUCAAGUCGGAUGUGAAAUCCCCGGGCUCAACCUGGGAACUGCAUUCGAAACUGGCAGGCUUGAGUCUUGUAGAGGGGGGUAGAAUUCCAGGUGUAGCGGUGAAAUGCGUAGAGAUCUGGAGGAAUACCGGUGGCGAAGGCGGCCCCCUGGACAAAGACUGACGCUCAGGUGCGAAAGCGUGGGGAGCAAACAGGAUUAGAUACCCUGGUAGUCCACGCCGUAAACGAUGUCUACUUGGAGGUUGUGCCCUUGAGGCGUGGCUUCCGGAGCUAACGCGUUAAGUAGACCGCCUGGGGAGUACGGCCGCAAGGUUAAAACUCAAAUGAAUUGACGGGGGCCCGCACAAGCGGUGGAGCAUGUGGUUUAAUUCGAUGCAACGCGAAGAACCUUACCUGGUCUUGACAUCCACGGAACUUUCCAGAGAUGGAUUGGUGCCUUCGGGAACCGUGAGACAGGUGCUGCAUGGCUGUCGUCAGCUCGUGUUGUGAAAUGUUGGGUUAAGUCCCGCAACGAGCGCAACCCUUAUCCUUUGUUGCCAGCGGUCCGGCCGGGAACUCAAAGGAGACUGCCAGUGAUAAACUGGAGGAAGGUGGGGAUGACGUCAAGUCAUCAUGGCCCUUACGACCAGGGCUACACACGUGCUACAAUGGCGCAUACAAAGAGAAGCGACCUCGCGAGAGCAAGCGGACCUCAUAAAGUGCGUCGUAGUCCGGAUUGGAGUCUGCAACUCGACUCCAUGAAGUCGGAAUCGCUAGUAAUCGUGGAUCAGAAUGCCACGGUGAAUACGUUCCCGGGCCUUGUACACACCGCCCGUCACACCAUGGGAGUGGGUUGCAAAAGAAGUAGGUAGCUUAACCUUCGGGAGGGCGCUUACCACUUUGUGAUUCAUGACUGGGGUGAAGUCGUAACAAGGUAACCGUAGGGGAACCUGCGGUUGGAUCACCUCCUUACCUUAAAGAAGC
rnacentral:rRNA from 1 species